rnacentral:rRNA from 1 species
AUACAUAGGUUAACGAGGCGAACCGCGGGAACUGAAACAUAUAAGAACCCCGACGAAAAGAAAUCAACCGAGAUACCCCCAGUAGCGGCGAGCGAACGCGGAGCAGCCCAGAGUCUGAAUCAGCUUGUGUGUUAGUGGAAGCGUCUGGAAACUCGCACGCUACACGCUGACAGUCCCGUACACGAAAAACCACACCAUCUGAACUCGAAGAGUAGGGCGGGACAC